UUUAAACCAGCACCCUCAUGGCCUUCAGCAUCCUCCUACAGGAAGUGGUGUAACCCAGCAUCCUGAGCACAGAGAUGCUAUAACGUGCGCAGGGACUGUGAAGUCUCCCAACGAGCCAGUGAUGGGCCUGACAACAUACACGCCAACGUUCCAUGUUCCCUACUCAUCACAGAGAAGCAUGUUACAAGAGGUGGAAGAACCCAAGAAGCAAGAUGACAGAGAAGGAGACAGAGAGGCAGGCAAGCACGGAGGGAGAACUCUUUUUGUCAUGUAUUUUAAUGCAAGAUGCGACUGCAAGCUCUCAGGACAUAGGAAGAAUCUUUUCAGGAUAGUGUCCUCUUGGAAAAUGAGAUGUGAUACAGUAUGUGAUGGAAAACUGAGAGCACGCUUUCCUAAUAAAGCAAAUUGUAAAGAAUGAAAAUAUGAAAAUGCUUACACCUUUUCCUCUAACUGCUGAAAUCAGGCUGCUUUGAACAACAUUCACAUAGCUCCUGAGCCAGGAAAAGUCACUUGCAAAGCAUUGCGCUGCAUUGAGAGACUAUAUCCUAUUGCACACACCUCUUCCCACCUCACUUUACUGUGACAGCAAGAGAAGAAUCUGACUCCAAGGACAUUUCAGCUAACAGAGGACUGCUUUGAAAUAAAAACAUCAUCAUCACCA
ensembl:lncRNA